rnacentral:rRNA from 1 species
UCAGUGUGUGUGUUAGUGGAAGCGUCUGGAAAGGCGCGCGAUACAGGGUGACAGCCCCGUACACAAAAAUGCACAUAUUGUGAGCUCGAUGAGUAGGGCGGGACACGUGGUAUCCUGUCUGAAUAUGGGGGGACCAUCCUCCAAGGCUAAAUACUCCUGACUGACCGAUAGUGAACCAGUACCGUGAGGGAAAGGCGAAAAGAACCCCGGCGAGGGGAGUGAAAAAGAACCUGAAACCGUGUACGUACAAGCAGUGGGAGCCUCUUAAUGGGGUGACUGCGUACCUUUUGUAUAAUGGGUCAGCGACUUAUAUUCUGUAGCAAGGUUAACCGAAUAGGGGAGCCGAAGGGAAACCGAGUCUUAACUGGGCGUUAAGUUGCAGGGUAUAGACCCGAAACCCGGUGAUCUAGCCAUGGGCAGGUUGAAGGUUGGGUAACACUAACUGGAGGACCGAACCGACUAAUGUUGAAAAAUUAGCGGAUGACUUGUGGCUGGGGGUGAAAGGCCAAUCAAACCGGGAGAUAGCUGGUUCUCCCCGAAAGCUAUUUAGGUAGCGCCUCGUGAAUUCAUCUCCGGGGGUAGAGCACUGUUUCGGCAAGGGGGUCAUCCCGACUUACCAACCCGAUGCAAACUGCGAAUACCGGAGAAUGUUAUCACGGGAGACACACGGCGGGUGCUAACGUCCGUCGUGAAGAGGGAAACAACCCAGACCGCCAGCUAAGGUCCCAAAGUCAUGGUUAAGUGGGAAACGAUGUGGGAAGGCCCAGACAGCCAGGAUGUUGGCUUAGAAGCAGCCAUCAUUUAAAGAAAGCGUAAUAGCUCACUGGUCGAGUCGGCCUGCGCGGAAGAUGUAACGGGGCUAAACCAUGCACCGAAGCUGCGGCAGCGACACUAUGUGUUGUUGGGUAGGGGAGCGUUCUGUAAGCCUGUGAAGGUGGCCUGUGAGGG